AUUGAACGCUGGCGGCAUGCCUUACACAUGCAAGUCGAACGGCAGCGGGGACUUCGGUCCGCCGGCGAGUGGCGAACGGGUGAGUAAAGUAUCGGAACGUACCUUUCAGUGGGGGAUAACUGUCCGAAAGGACAGCUAAUACCGCAUAUUCUGUGAGCAGGAAAGCAGGGGAUCGCAAGACCUUGCGCUGAUUGAGCGGCCGAUAUCAGAUUAGCUAGUUGGUGAGGUAAAGGCUCACCAAGGCGACGAUCUGUAGCGGGUCUGAGAGGAUGAUCCGCCACACUGGAACUGAGACACGGUCCAGACUCCUACGGGAGGCAGCAGUGGGGAAUUUUGGACAAUGGGGGCAACCCUGAUCCAGCCAUGCCGCGUGAGUGAAGAAGGCCU
rnacentral:rRNA from 1 species